GGGUGGUAAUGCCGGAUGCUCCGACUCCUCGCAUGGGGUGUCGGGAAAGAUUUCAUCGGUAUGGGAUGGGGUCGCGUCCUAUCAGGUAGUCGGCGGGGUAACGGCCCACCGAGCCUACGACGGGUAGCCGGCCUGAGAGGGCGACCGGCCACAUUGGGACUGAGAUACGGCCCAGACUCCUACGGGAGGCAGCAGUGGGGAAUAUUGCACAAUGGGCGCAAGCCUGAUGCAGCGACGCCGCGUGCGGGAUGACGGCCUUCGGGUUGUAAACCGCUUUUGAUCGGGAGCAAGCCUUCGGGUGAGUGUACCUUUCGAAUAAGCACCGGCUAACUACGUGCCAGCAGCCGCGGUAAUACGUAGGGUGCAAGCGUUAUCCGGAAUUAUUGGGCGUAAAGGGCUCGUAGGCGGUUCGUCGCGUCCGGUGUGAAAGUCCAUCGCUUAACGGUGGAUCUGCGCCGGGUACGGGCGGGCUGGAGUGCGGUAGGGGAGA
rnacentral:rRNA from 1 species